CCGAACGCUGGCGGCGUGCCUAAUACAUGCAAGUCGAACGCUUCUUUCCUCCCGAGUGCUUGCACUCAAUUGGAAAGAGGAGUGGCGGACGGGUGAGUAACACGUGGGUAACCUACCCAUCAGAGGGGGAUAACACUUGGAAACAGGUGCUAAUACCGCAUAACAGUUUAUGCCGCAUGGCAUAAGAGUGAAAGGCGCUUUCGGGUGUCGUUGAUGGAUGGACCCGCGGUGCAUUAGCUAGUUGGUGAGGUAACGGCUCACCAAGGCCACGAUGCAUAGCCGACCUGAGAGGGUGAUCGGCCACACUGGGACUGAGACACGGCCCAGACUCCUACGGGAGGCAGCAGUAGGGAAUCUUCGGCAAUGGACGAAAGUCUGACCGAGCAACGCCGCGUGAGUGAAGAAGGUUUUCGGAUCGUAAAACUCUGUUGUUAGAGAAGAACAAGGACGUUAGUAACUGAACGUCCCCUGACGGUAUCUAACCAGAAAGCCACGGCUAACUACGUG
rnacentral:rRNA from 1 species